UCCUCCCGCGCGGGCCACGUGAGGAGAUUCUGGAGCCUUCAGGUUGUCCCCCGUGCGCAAGCAGCAGGACGAGGCCCAGGACUUUUCGGGCCUGCACGUUUGCUGAGAGUGGUGUUCUUGUGGCGGGGGCGGAAGGUGGACGUCUUAGGAAGCCUUGCGACCCAGUAGAGACCCCCACAGGGACUCCGCAGUGCCUGGGGAUGGCCUGGACCUCGCCCGGGAAAGGAUGCAGUUUUACAAAACCAGAGGUAGUCGUCAAGUUGGAGCAAUGAAAGGGUCCAUUGUUGUUAGAGGAAGAAUUUCCAAGCAGGAGCCAUGCAGGGUGAUAGUCCAGGUUGCUGAUGCCACCACCAUAAUUCAUCACCAGAGAUGGAGAAACUCUGUACCAUGAUGCCAGCUGGGCAAGGAAGAUCACUUUGCUGAGUGCUGGCAGGACUGAUUCAAUAGUUAUGCGGGCUCUGGGCUCCCGUGGCUGCCUUUAGCAUCUGGAUGCUGUAACUUGGAAGUUUGGUGUGGAGCGGUGUGAAACCUCAGAGGAUACAUGAAUAGGUCCAUAAACCUUCUCACAUUGUCACCCUGGAAAUGGAACUCCAUAUGGCUGUCGGGGAGCUGCCCAAAGGCCACGUACAAGGGAUCCUAGGAAGGCUGGCCGUGUACGUCCUGGGGCCACAUUCGCAGCGUAUGGAAAUUCUUAGACUAAAGGUCAAAUUGGAGCUGCAGCUGCGGACCUACACCACAGCCAUAGAAAUGUAAGAUCUGAGCCCUGUCUGUGACCUACCUUAUAGUUCAGGGCAGUGCCGGAUCCCCAACCCACUGAGUGAGGCCGGGGAUUGAACCCUUAUUUUUAUUUUCUUCUUUGAAUGUCUGUUGAGUUUUUCAUUUUAUUGACUAUAAAUUUUAUUUUCUAUUUGUCUCUUUUUUCUUUUUUUGGCUUUUUAGGGCCACCUCUGUGGCAUGUGGAAGUUCCCAGGCUAGGGGUGGAAUCAGAGCUACAGCUGCCGGACUACACCACAGCCAUAGCAACUGGGUUAAGGAUCUGGUGUUGCCAUGAGCUGUGGUGUAGGUCAUAGAUGUGGCUCAGAUCUGGCAUUACUGUGGCUGUGGUGCAGGUCGGUGGCGCCAGCGCCCAUUCGACCCUAGCCUGGGAACCUCCAUAUGCUGUGGGUAUAGCCCAAAAAAGAGAAAGAAAAAAGAAAAAGUUUCCUUUGAUGGUCAUCUGUCUGAGACCAGGUGGCAAGAUUUUCACACUUUGUCAUUGAAUCUUUCCCUGCCAUCCAGCUUCACCUUGACAAGCAUGUCUGACCACUCCACUGCUAUGGAGAUCACUGACUGUGUGGAGUAAUGACAAGCCUACUGAAGAUGACUGGGUGCAUUAGACAGUUUACAGUGGCUCAACCUAUGUAGAUGCUGAAUUCAGUCCAUUUUCUACAUCUAGUGAUGUGUCCCAGUGAUUGAUUUUGGCAUCAAAACAGAAAUCCUUCUCUUUCUUAACUUGCUAUUCACGCAUCAUCUUCCAGUGGCAAGUGCUGACAAUGACAGAUGCCACCUUCACCACAGCUUGGUUCUUGGCUAAAGUCCCCUCCUCUUAGCUUAUGAGCCCUGCCUUGGGAGAAAGUGUUUGCAAUGUGCCUAGGCCUCAGCUGGAUCCCAGCAGUUGCUUGGCCUAAGAGCUGGGACCCUUUCCCCAUAUGCCAUUUGGUGAGCAUAAUCAGUGGUUGUGCACCCUAGGUGUCUUGAUCAGAUGCUUCAUUUUGGCCAGGGUUUUUACUCUCCUGCUUCCUAGGCAAGUCGCUAUAUCCAUAAACUUGACUUAACAAGUCCAUUUUUCUUUUUUCUUACCUGAUCCAAAACACCUCCCAGUAGAUUUUUCAUAUAUAUUAAAAAAUCAGUAAGUAAACUGCUGCCUGUAGAAUUUUGCCUCUAAAGCAACAGGAUCCUUCCAAAAAUCUAAUGUAAACACAAACUGUUGCAUUCUUAAUGAAAAGCCAUUCUUCUGGGUUCUGUGGGUGCUGCAGUGCACCAGUCCCUGCUAGAUGCUGCCUGAGGUCCCCAUUGCUUCUGCACACGUGGACACACCCUGCAGCUCUGAUGGCCCUGGAGGGGGCGUAGCUUCCUGAAUUGUAUUCUCAUUGCACUGGUGUUUGCAGGUGAAUGGGGAAAAUGUUCACUCACCUCCACGUUAUCUCCCUUCUGCCUGCAAGCUGAAACUCAGGGUUGAUGAGGCCCCUCUGAAUUUCAGGAGUUUGAUGAAACAGAUUUUCUAGAGUUUAUUCAUGGCUCUUCUUCUCCCUGGACAGGCCACAUGUGUGCUUUGGCUGACAGUGCCCAGCCCCCAGGGCUGUUUUAGAUUCUGGUUUGAUUCCUUAGAAAAGACCAGGAAUCUGGUUCAUAUCAUGUUUUCAGAUAUUUCAAUCAUCUUGCUCAGUAAAAAGUUCUCUAACAUGUGAAUUAAAUGCAUGUUCUACGGUUCUAUAAUUUAUAUUCAUGACAAAGCUUAUGUAAGUAUAGGAAUUUUUAAAGAAGGAGAUGAAAAAGAAUCCAAAUGGAAGUUCUGAUAUUUUCUUCCUGUAUCUGGGUGUACUGUCUUCCACUCCAAUUGGUGGGCCUGAGAGGUCUCACUCUGAGAGAACCUCGGUGCCUCUCAGGUGAAGGUGAGGGGGGGGCGGGGGGAGUGGGGACAAAGCAGGGAUGAUAUCUACAGGGAUGGUUGAAGGUAUUUUUGCCUUCAACCCUCAAAAUCUGCCUGGAUGACCUUGGACUUGUAGGUGAAUUCCAGAUUCAGGGAAAGGUGUGUUUUUCAUGAUGAAGUUCUACCCAGAACGAAAUGAAUCAUGCUGUAUUGUGCUGUUUUUCAUAAAAGUUAGUACAUUGAAUUUCCUUCUCUUGUUAUUCUUUUCCUUUUAAACAUGCCAUGAAUAAAAAUAACAAACUGCU
rnacentral:lncRNA from 1 species